rnacentral:lncRNA from 1 species
GUAGGAUUCAUUGUAGACACACAAUAGUUUUAGAUAAAAAUCCUGAUAUUAUUUAUCUGAAUCAUCCGUUUUAUAGGUACUGACCUUUAAUUUAAGGGCGUAGGCCCAGAAUUUCGCGCGAAUGUGUUUUAAAUGAAUUUAUUUUUUCGAUUCCUGAGAAAACUAAUAAGUAUUUUUGAAAAAUUUAAACGCAAAAUGAAAGAUUUCAUUAUUACCGAGGGCCGAAAGUUCCUGAAAACUUCUGUAAUGUUUAUUUUAAUAAGUUACUGGGGUGAAAAAAACGAGAAAAUUUAGUGUGAUUUUUAAUUUCAAAUAUCUCAUUCAACAGAAACUUUUUGGUUAUUCUAAAGGUUGUAUGACACUAUGCAUUUUCUUGUAUCAUUUCUAAUAUCGGUUCUGAUAUGUCAAAAAAAUGAAUAGUGUUAUACACAGAUACAAGAAACGAUACAAGAAUUUGUGUCAGACACAGAUUCUUGUACAAGAACUGCGCCAAUUUCUGCGAAAAGAGCAAAAACGUAAAACCUGCAGGUAAAACAUCUAAAUGUCAUAAUGGCGGCUGAAAAUGGAUCAUAUGAUUUAUGUUUUGAUGAAUUUAUAUGUGUUUUGUAAGUAUUAUUUAUAAAUCUUUUAUUAAUACUUAAUAUAUGGACUACUGUUCUACUAAUAACCAUAUAUUUAACUCCUAGUAAAGCUCAAACUAUAACUUUGGCUUUCAUUGUGUUGCAUAAUUUUUUAAUAGAGGAAAAUACAAUAGUUCCUAGUUUGGAUCAAACUGAAGAUAAUUCUAAUGCAAAUAUUUUAGCAGAAAUAUCAAAAUAAAAUAAAAACACAAAUAAUCCACCUCAAACAGUAAACGUGAAAAUUAUGGUUAACAUUAAAAUGUUAAAUUUAUAAGUUUUUAAAAGUUUAUAAAUUUUAUAAAAUCCUUAAAAUCAGCUGUAGACGCAGUACUACCAUACCAAUGUAACGUGACACAAGAACUUGCAUAGUGUCAUACAGGGCACAAAUGUGCGUACAAGAAACGAUACAAGAAAAUGUAUAUAACUUUCUAAUAUAAAAAACGAUAUUAGAAAUGAUACAAGAAAAUGCAUAGUGUCAUACAGCCUUUGGAACUUUUGGCCCUCGGUAAUAAUCUUUCAUUCUGCGUUUAAAUUUUUUAAGACUAAGUACUUUGCGCCUACGCCCUCAACUAUAGAGAAAUAUUAAUAAAAUUUUCAUCCCCUCUAUUUUUAUGGUACCUAUUAUUCUCAUAAAAGGUUAAGAGUAAGAAAUUGGAAAACCAAGGGGAGGAUAGGAAAGAAUGGAAGCUGAACCUAGAACAAACUAAGACUCACCAUGGGUUGUACAGCAAAUGAUGAUGAUGAUUCUUAUAAAAAGAGCAAAGAAGUAACAUUUUCAUUAAUAUACAAAUAAAAACCGUCAGACUAUGUAUUGUAGAUUGCACAAACACGGGAGUAUUAUAAGUUAACAAAAAUGUGCAUUGAAUGUAUUAUUAGUUCAGUUGCCUACAUUGAUAGAUGAGCUUUUUAAAAUCCAAAAUUAUACAACCAAAUUAAAACAAUGUAACCAUAUUCUAUAUUAUAUAUAAAUACACUGUGCGUCAGAGAAACCGGGCCACCCAUAAAAUUCAGAAAAUUUUAUAUAUUUUUAUAUACUGAGCGAGUCUGCAAAGAGAACAAACAAAUUGAUAAAACAUAUUAAAACAAAAUUCUCAGAACUCAUGAACCAAUAGCUAGACGUCGGAAAAAAAAUUAUUUUAAGACAACUGGUUCUUUAAUAUAUUAUUUCCUAUGCUUCCUCGGACACCGUACCGGCCAUCUGGCUGCUGGUACAGGUUGCGUUCAUUACUGCGCUGCACAUUUGUGCAGGUAAACAUAUCGAAUUUAAAAUUAUUGUAAGAGGAAAAAUUAUUUUGUACUUACUUUUUAAACAUUAUUAGAAAUAUGAACUAUAAUAAUUGCCAGACAUUUUUGUGGUUUAAAAAGUAAUGACAAAAAAAUGUUUCAUCCUAAAAUAAUUUAAAUUCAAUAUACAAGGUGAUUGUUGAGUGUGAUACAGCUCAGUAGAUCCGCUAUAGUAAUAGAUAGCAAUAAAAGUUGAUAACAAAAA